rnacentral:lncRNA from 1 species
GUUUUGUUAGCUGGUGGUUACCAACCCAUGAUCUCCAAAAACUCCUCCCCCACUAGCUUGUAACCUCCAUCUCAGAUCUAUUAAGUAUGUGUCGAUUACCGUCAUCCUCACUCUUGCCCUAACCUUUCUUCUUUCUUUUUGGAUUCACAUCUAAAUUCGUCAAAUCGGAAGGGUUUUAUAUAUUGCUUCUGACUGCGGUGAUUGUAACCUACAACAACCGAUCAUGAUUAGGAUGCAAGGAAGUGGAAUGAAGACAGUACAAGUACAGUGAUGUAAUGUUUUAAUUUUUCAGGUUGAAUCAUUUGAUGCUCUACUCUUCAACCUGGCGACUUUGUAUGCCCUAAUUUUCCGCUCGAUGUUCUCUGCCAAUUUGUCUGUCGAUAUUUCUGUGUGCAAUUCUACAACCUUUGUUGCUCAAUUCUUUCCGACGGUUUUGGGGCAACGAUUUAGCCCUUGGAUAUUAAGGUAUGAUUUGGUGCACCUCUAUGGUAACUAGGGGUGUUAAUCGGAUUUCGGGUUAUUCAACUCAAGUUUUGGGGGUUCGAAACUUCAGUUUCAACGGAAUACUGACUCAAAUAAGGUCGGUUUAAUCUGUAUCCACAUAGAUGAUAUGGUGAAAUGUAGGAUGUUCAAUGUGUUGUUGCAGAAAUAAUUGGCAGAAGCAAAGAAACAACUACUAGCAUGCAGCUAAGGAAAUUGCAUAAUGAUGAGGAACCUGCUAGAAAUUUAAAGGAGAUGGUCCGAGAUGCUUUACUUACAGGAGGAACCCAAAAUGUUGGGGCAAACUUCCUCUUGGUUCAAUGGGCUGGCAGCUACUCGGAGAAACGCUAUAGUUGUUGGCCCCUAACCACACUUUGGACAUCCCCCUCUUCACAAAGGAGAGGAUGAAAAGUUUACCAUUCAGUACAUCCUAAGCGGGAAGGCUUGGCUCAACAACAGGGAAGGUUCCGUAACCACUGAUAUUUCAGGCGUAGUGAAAGAAGCAAAGAAAAACAUCACAUUUAAAAAGGAUAAAUCGACAAUUGUUCAUGCUGGUCUUGGAAAGUUCAGAGGACGUGGGGUUCAGACUUUCAGGGAAAAGGAUUCAACCAGGAGUUCAUGUUGUGCUUCAAGGCAACAACACAAUGGUUUGCUUCUGUGGAUGUGGACGGAUUCAGAGGUUGCAAUGGGGGCCAUUAGCCAAGUUACAUGGACCCUAUUAAGUUGGAUACGUUGAUUCGUAUGUUGUUAUAUCAUGCGGUGUGCGUGUUCUUUCUUGGGGGAGGGGGGAUACUUAUCUGUACCUGGUUUCUUACAAGGGUCACCCAUCUCUUUUAACGACGAAUCAUGAUCUAGGCUUCAACAUAUAGACUUAAGAGAUGUACAAAUGUGCCCACAUUAUUUGGCGCUGAUUAAAUAUAAUAGGUUAUGAGACCUGAGGAAAUUUCUGCUCAGUUAGGGCCUCAGUUCAGCCAAGGUUGUUUUAAGCCUUGAGUCUUAUUCAGGCAUGCCAUCACUCCAUUCGGGCUAAGAGCCAAUUGCAUAUAUGCAUACAAUCAAGGUGUAUUAUAAUCAAUGAGUGCCUUCUCAUGUGUAUUUUGAUCCUGCUGUACUUCAACAAACCAUGAAAGGUUUCUCAUCUCUCCAAGUCCAAAUUCAAGUGGGUGUCUAUACAAUCAGUGAAGCAAGCCAAUGACUAUAUGUGAUGAGAAGUUAACUGGAAUUGAUAAUGAGACCGUUAGGUGUCAUCAAGCUGCAGAAAAUAUAUGCCAAGAAGGUAGCUUAAUGAUGCUACUAGACUACUAGUACUGGUUCGUUGGCUUGCCGUUGUUAUCAAAUCAAAUUUGGCUUAGUUGGUUCUUGGAUCACUUGUAUUGCUACUGUUUCUAUGGGUGAUCAAGCUGUGGGUUUCCAAUAUUAUUUCCUUUUUGUGUGUAAGAAUCCAGCUCCUUGUAUGCUUAUCUUGUGUAAGAAAUUUGGUAUUAAUAAAAGAUCAGUUGAUUUUUGUUUUUCUUUCGUGUUCGGAAACGUGUCCGUAUGUUAGUUGGAG